rnacentral:rRNA from 1 species
GGCCUAACACAUGCAAGUCGAGCGAAGUCUUCGGACUUAGCGGCGGACGGGUGAGUAACGCGUGGGAACGUGCCCUUUGCUUCGGAAUAGCCCCGGGAAACUGGGAGUAAUACCGAAUGUGCCCUAUGGGGGAAAGAUUUAUCGGCAAAGGAUCGGCCCGCGUUGGAUUAGGUAGUUGGUGGGGUAAUGGCCUACCAAGCCGACGAUCCAUAGCUGGUUUGAGAGGAUGAUCAGCCACACUGGGACUGAGACACGGCCCAGACUCCUACGGGAGGCAGCAGUGGGGAAUCUUAGACAAUGGGCGCAAGCCUGAUCUAGCCAUGCCGCGUGAUCGAUGAAGGCCUUAGGGUUGUAAAGAUCUUUCAGGUGGGAAGAUAAUGACGGUACCACCAGAAGAAGCCCCGGCUAACUCCGUGCCAGCAGCCGCGUAAUACGGAGGGGGCUAGC